rnacentral:rRNA from 1 species
GCGUGAGUGAUGAAGGCCUUAGGGUUGUAAAGCUCUUUUACCCGGGAUGAUAAUGACAGUACCGGGAGAAUAAGCCCCGGCUAACUCCGUGCCAGCAGCCGCGGUAAUACGGAGGGGGCUAGCGUUGUUCGGAAUUACUGGGCGUAAAGCGCACGUAGGCGGCUUUGUAAGUUAGGGGUGAAAGCCUGGUGCUCAACACCAGAACUGCCUUUGAUACUGCAUGGCUUGAAUCCGAGAGAGGUGAGUGGAAUUCCGAGUGUAGAGGUGAAAUUCGU